GAACCCAGGACUUCCCAUGUGGGAGGCAGGUGUCCAAUGGCUUGGGCCACGUCGACUUCCAAGAACUUUUUUAAAGACAUGGAUAUACCUGCCACCAUCUCUUGUGACAUCCACUAACAGGAGCUGCAAACCUGGAAAUGGGCACCACCAGUGACUGUGUGUUUUGGAGAACACUCUAGUACCACCACUAUCUCUGGAACAUCGAAGAAAUAAGUUCAUUUUCAAAAACAGCCC
rnacentral:lncRNA from 1 species